rnacentral:rRNA from 1 species
AACGAACGCUGGCGGCAGGCUUAACACAUGCAAGUCGAACGGACGUAGCAAUACGUUAGUGGCAGACGGGUGAGUAACGCGUGGGAAUAUGCCCUUUAGUUCGGAAUAACCAAGGGAAACUUUGGCUAAUACCGGAUAAUCCCGAGAGGGGAAAGAUAUUAUCGCUGAAGGAGUAGCCCGCGUCUGAUUAGCUAGUUGGUGAGGUAAUGGCUCACCAAGGCGACGAUCCGAAGCUGGUCUGAGAGGAUGACCAGCCACACUGGGACUGAGACACGGCCCAGACUCCUACGGGAGGCAGCAGGGGGGAAUAUUGGACAAUGGGGGCAACCCUGAUCCAGCCAUGCCGCGUGAGUGAUGAAGGCCUUAGGGUUGUAAAACUCUUUAUCCGGGAAGAUAAUGACUGUACCGGAAGAAUAAGCCCCGGCUAACUUCGUGCCAGCCGCCGCUGUAA